GGAGCGUCCAAAGCAAGAAAUUGCCUUUCCUUCCCCCCUGCAUUUCCAGGGAGGGACAUGGAGAACGAAAUCCCAAGUCUGAGUUUGUUGAAAUUUGUGUUGCAGAUGGUGUCGGUGGAAAUUCAAGCCAGAAGUUUAUCCCAAACGUUUUGAAGCCAGGCUGAUAAUUCACAGGGAUGCAGAUGUUGGAUGAGUGAUUGCACAGGAGCCAAAGAAUCAGACAGACUGUCUGUGGAGCUGUGAUGACAAACAGUGUGUGCAGACCUGGAGGUGAGGCAGCACUUACUGGGACUGGUGUGAGCUGCGUGCCAAGGACAGAGUACUUGGAGCCAUUCUGUUGCCUGUGAAGCUCGUGCUGCUCCGAGAGCCCUGCGCAGCAGAAUGGCUAUUUGGCUACAGAAGCACAGGAGAUCUGCAUGCACGUCAAAGCUCACACAGCAAGGCUGAGAGUCUGCCCUUGCAGCAGAGGCUAAAUCCUGCUCACCUCCAGCAGAACCCUGUGGCCUCUCCCUGCUGGAUGCAGCCGGUAGGUGAGGACUGUUCCCACUUCAGUAAAUCUUCAGCAGCCGCACUUCACUUGUGGGGAAACCUCCCACGAAGGGACUCAGCCCUGCACUGCAGAACUAGAUGGGCCCUUCAGCUGCUUCCCUCUCAGCCGCACAAACCCAAGCUGUGGUUUCCUGCCUAAGCCCAUUCUCCAUCCCAUGAUAGAUGUGUCCUGCAACAUCUGGCAGUCUGUCCCCCUGUAUUUUAAAAGGUCUGGCUUCACCGUGUUGGGGCAUCGGGGCCAGAAUGCCUGAUCAGAGCCAUGAAUAAUGAGGAGUAGACCUCAAAGACACCGACCCUGCAGUAGGACUUGAAGAGCUGUCUGCAGUGGGAAAACUGCCAUCAGGGGACAGCCAGCAAGGGAAGGCUGAUGUCUGUUGUGGAAGACUGCACUCAGGCUUUGCUCAUGUCUCAGGUAUUAAGAUCUGAUUGUGGGUACCUCCAAAUGCAGAGCACUUUUUCCACUGAUUUUAGAGACAUG
rnacentral:lncRNA from 1 species